rnacentral:tRNA from 1 species
GCCUCGGUAGUGUAAUGGAUCACCAAGGCAGACCGUAUUUCUGUAAAUAUGGGUUCGAGUCCCGCCUGAGGUU